AUUGAACGCUGGCGGCAUGCCUUACACUUGCAAGUCGAACGGCAGCACGGAGCUUGCUCUGGUGGCGAGUGGCGAACGGGUGAGUAAUAUAUCGGAACGUACCCUAGAGUGGGGGAUAACGUAGCGAAAGUUACGCUAAUACCGCAUACGAUCUAAGGAUGAAAGUGGGGGAUCGCAAGACCUCAUGCUCGUGGAGCGGCCGAUAUCUGAUUAGCUAGUUGGUAGGGUAAAAGCCUACCAAGGCAUCGAUCAGUAGCUGGUCUGAGAGGACGACCAGCCACACUGGAACUGAGACACGGUCCAGACUCCUACGGGAGGCAGCAGUGGGGAAUUUUGGACAAUGGGCGAAAGCCUGAUCCAGCAAUGCCGCGUGAGUGAAGAAGGCCUUCGGGUUGUAAAGCUCUUUUGUCAGGGAAGAAACGGUGAAAGCUAAUAUCUUUUGCUAAUGACGGUACCUGAAGAAUAAGCACCGGCUAACUACGUGCCAGCAGCCGCGGUAAUACGUAGGGUGCAAGCGUUUAUCGGAAUUACUGGGCGUAAAGCGUGCGCAGGCGGUUUUGUAAGUCUGAUGUGAAAUCCCCGGGCUCAACCUGGGAAUUGCAUGGGAGACUGCAAGGCUAAAAAUCUGGCAGAGGGGGGUAGUAUUUCCACGUGUAGCAUUGAAAUGCGUAGAUAAGUGGAGAACCACCGAUGGGGAAGGCAGCCCCCUUGGGUCAAGAUUGACGCUCAUGCAGAAAAGCGUGGGGAGCAAACAGGAUUAGAUACCCUGGUAGUCCACGCCCUAAACGAUGUCUACUAGUUGUCGGGUCUUAAUUGACUUGGUAACGCAGCUAACGCGUGAAGUAGACCGCCUGGGGAGUACGGUCGCAAGAUUAAAACUCAAAGGAAUUGACGGGGACCCGCACAAGCGGUGGAUGAUGUGGAUUAAUUCGAUGCAACGCGAAAAACCUUACCUACCCUUGACAUGGCUGGAAUCCUUGAGAGAUCAGGGAGUGCUCGAAAGAGAACCAGUACACAGGUGCUGCAUGGCUGUCGUCAGCUCGUGUCGUGAGAUGUUGGGUUAAGUCCCGCAACGAGCGCAACCCUUGUCAUUAGUUGCUACGAAAGGGCACUCUAAUGAGACUGCCGGUGACAAACCGGAGGAAGGUGGGGAUGACGUCAAGUCCUCAUGGCCCUUAUGGGUAGGGCUUCACACGUCAUACAAUGGUACAUACAGAGCGCCGCCAACCCGCGAGGGGGAGCUAAUCGCAGAAAGUGUAUCGUAGUCCGGAUUGUAGUCUGCAACUCGACUGCAUGAAGUUGGAAUCGCUAGUAAUCGCGGAUCAGCAUGUCGCGAUGAAUACGUUCCCGGGUCU
rnacentral:rRNA from 1 species